UACGUAGGGGGCAAGCGUUGUCCGGAUUUAUUGGGCGUAAAGAGCUUGUAGGCGGCCAUACAGGUCAGCUGUGAAAACUCGAGGCUCAACCUCGAGACGUCGGUUGAAACCGUUUGGCUAGAGUCCGGAAGAGGAGAGUGGAAUUCCCGGUGUAGCGGUGAAAUGCGCAGAUAUCGGGAAGAACACCCGUGGCGAAGGCGGCUCACUGGACCACAACUGACGCUGAGGCGCGAAAGCUAGGGGAGCAAACAGG
rnacentral:rRNA from 1 species